CAGCAGAAUGUAUACAACCUCACAAAUACUGCAGCACAUAUAAUAACUUUUAUUUUACUAUUCAUUACAGAUGUUUAUCUUCAAGACCAUCAGCCAUCGCUCCCGUCAACCAGCCAAAUAGCAAUUGCUUCAGAAUCACAGGUUAAAGGUGGCAAGCCCGUUAUUUUGAAUGAUGUCAAUCAAUACAAGAAUGGCUACUUCCCAACUUAAAUCAGCAAGUCAUGUCCAAAUAGGCAAACCAACGACAGAAAUGUCGAGCAAAACUCGCAGAUGUAUUAAAAAUUACAUAAAACGUGCAAAAAAGAGUAUACGUGAUACAAGCGGUCAAAGACUGCAAAGUGCACAAAACCUCAUCACAGAC